rnacentral:rRNA from 1 species
UGCAAGUCGAACGAACCCUUCGGGGUGAGUGGCGCACGGGUGCGUAACGCGCGGGAACCUGCCUCAGGUUCGGAUAACUCAGAGAAACUUGAGCUAAUACCGGAUAAUGUCUUCGGACCAAAGAUUUAUCGCCUUUAGAUGGGCCCGCGUUAGAUUAGAUAGUUGGUGGGGUAACGGCCUACCAAGUCGACGAUCUAUAGCUGGUCUGAGAGGAUGAUCAGCCACACUGGGACUGAGACACGGCCCAGACUCCUACGGGAGGCAGCAGUGGGGAAUAUUGGACAAUGGGCGAAAGCCUGAUCCAGCAAUGCCGCGUGAGUGAUGAAGGCCUUAGGGUUGUAAACUACUGUCAGAGUUCAGAAAUUUUGAUCAGACUCAAAGGAAGGGCCGGCUAACUUCGUGCCAGCAGCCGCGGUAAUACGAAGGGCCCGAGCGUUGCGCGGAAUCACUGGGCUUAAAGGGUGCGUAGGCGGACAAGUAAGUACUUUGUGAAAUCCCACAGCUCAACUGUGGAACUGCUGAGUAUACUGCUUGUCUUGAGUAUGAGAGAGGCAACCGGAACUCUAGGUGUAGCGGUGAAAUGCGUAGAUAUCUAGAGGAACGCCAAUGGAGAAGUCAGGUUGCUGGCUCAUUACUGACGCUGAGGCACGAAAGCAUGGGUAGCGAACGGGAUUAGAUACCCCGGUAGUCCAUGCCCUA